GAUGAACGCUGGCGGCGUGCUUAACACAUGCAAGUCGAACGAUGAAGCCCAGCUUGCUGGGUGGUUUAGUGGCGAACGGGUGAGUAACACGUGAGUAACCUGCCCUUGACUCUGGGAUAAGCCUGGGAAACUGGGUCUAAUACUGGAUAUGACUUCUCAUCGCAUGGUGGGGGGUGGAAAGAUUUAUUGGUCUUGGAUGGACUCGCGGCCUAUCAGCUUGUUGGUGAGGUAAUGGCUCACCAAGGCGACGACGGGUAGCCGGCCUGAGAGGGUGACCGGCCACACUGGGACUGAGACACGGCCCAGACUCCUACGGGAGGCAGCAGUGGGGAAUAUUGCACAAUGGGCGCAAGCCUGAUGCAGCGACGCCGCGUGAGGGAUGACGGCCUUCGGGUGGUAAACCUCUUUCAGUAGGGAAGAAGCGAGAGUGACGGUACCUGCAGAAGAAGCGCCGGCUAACUACGUG
rnacentral:rRNA from 1 species